AUUUGAUGAUGAGGACAUUAUAUUUGUAACUCCCCAAAUCUUUCCCAAGCUUCAAAGAAUUCUUCCGUAUGUUUUUGUCUAAAAGUUUGGAUCUUGUUAACUCUAUU
rnacentral:snoRNA from 1 species